ACCAAUCGUUUUCGUUGAACCUAAACUUAUUGCUGAAUUAACGAUAAUUUCCCUUUAAAUUUGGAGGUUCGCACCAAGAGCUUCAUUCUGUAUUUCGAAGUGCUCCUGCAUUAGAAUCGGCUCCAGUAAAGUCAUUUCUUCGAGGAAUCAUCAUCAUCAGUGACGUAAAUAAAAUUGUGAGUGUUCAACAUGUCUGAUUCAGAGUUAGAAUUUUUCGAGCCUGAACGCAAACCAAAGACGAAGCGAAAGUCUGCGAGUAGAUCCAAAGAGUCUAUCAGAGCUGGUUCUUCUAAGAAACCCAGACACACAGGGAAGCUCCAAGAGACGUUGGAUAUACUGGGCUUGCUGUCGGAAGA